CUGGCUGGCUGGCUGGGCUGAGGCGCGGUUCUUUAUCCGAGGCGCCCGUGUGGGGUUUCGCUGUCGGAGCCGCCGCUGUGGGGUUCAGUCAGGGCAGCCCCUGCGGAAAGGUUGUUGAAGGCGCCUUGGGAAGCAUGGCCAGGGCCCGGGGAGUAGAGGGAAAUGGGAGAAACUGAAGAGUUUGCUUGUAUACACAGAAGAACAGAUGGGUAAGUUGGGAGGGAGUGUGGACGGGGAGGCAGACACAGCGUUGUGUGGAAUAUCAUUCGGUAAAGAAGGAAAGGAAUUAAGAUGCAGGAAUUUGUUUUUAUAGCAGUGCCAUUUAAAUAGCGGUUGGGCUGCAUGAGUAAGAGUUGCCUCGAAGUGAGGAAGUCAUACUUCUGCAGCCUGAGAGACAUGAAGAAAAAGCUGUCAGGAAAAAAAAAAGGCAAACAACAGAAAACCAAACCAACCCGCAGGUUCUGAAAACAGCUCUUGUUUUACUUUGUAUCAUCAGCUGUUAGCUAGUAUGCAAACAGCUGACUUACAUAUACUGAGGUCUGUGAACCUGUGUGUUUUUACAUGGCUCUCUUAAAAUAUGAAGCACUGUAAUAAAUAGUCAUCGUUUUGCAGUGUCAGAGGGCUUGGCUGAUGCAGAAGAACCCUUGAAACAUUAUACCAGCAACUGAAGGUAGGUCCUGGUGUCUUGCUGGACAGAUGUCCUGGACGUCUUGCUGUUGCAGCCAAAUUUUUCAGAACAGUUUGAGAAGGCUACUUCAUUUUCACUCCCCCAAAGCAUUGUUCCAUUUUUGGUAAAAGUUAACAUUCUUUAAAUAUUUGGAGUUUUUUUGGAGGUGGGAGGAAUGGCAAGAGUGCUAGUAAUUAAAAAUGUGUGUGUGUAUGCACACAGCCUACUCCUGUUUCUGUUUGGUAACUUUUUUCAUCUCACUUCCUAGUCAUGUAAACAUAAAUACCUAUCUAUGAAGAGGUACAAAGGAGUGGAUAGGCAGUUGCUCAGAAUGAAUCAGACUUCAGCUGGUACUACGGGGGCUUCCAUAUCUGAAGUAAAAUGUCAUGAUUGAAUGAUCACUUGCCAUCCCCACUGCCAGCUGGGAGAAGCAGCUGUGCCCUAUCUUUGCUCACUGCAGUUCACUGUGGCCCUUGCAUCAGUCUCUGUUUUGAAGUGGUGAAGUUGCUUGGGCUGCCACAUGGUGAGUUAGACUGAGGAACAUGUAUACCUCAAAACUAACCCUAUCCUUUUCACCUUCUGUUGUCCUCAAAUCCCUCCUCCCCUCCCUCUCAGCCAACCCCAUCAAAGGUUGAAGAGAGGUCAGAACUGCUUCCUUCGAAAAUGGAGGCACUUUGCAAAACUCUGGCCAGUCAUUGGUAUGAAAUUUAGAACAGAAAAUAGGUAUUUCGGUAGCGCUUGGCUGUCUUUAUGCUUAAUAGCAUAAUACUAAUAGUGAGGAAUAAUUUUUUUGUAGUCUGGUCAGCAUCAGGUCAUUUCCAUCUCAAACUGACUGCUGGAAGGUUGAACAGAAAACUCAUGUUCACAGCAGUUGUACAUAAUGUGGUUGACAUGCAAAUCAGGACUUUUUUAAAAAAACCUUGAGUUCAUGUAAAAUUCCAUAAUGAAAAAAAAAGUGUUUCUUUCCAUCCCUCUGGAAACAUCAGUUUCUAUUCCUUCAUGGGGAUAACUCACAGUAUCAAAGCUCGUGCAGUUGUACCUGCAUCAACUACACAGGUACGUACACCUGAGACGUGCCAUUAGGGAGAAGAGCCUGAGCAGCUGAAAGGUGGUAACAGGAAGAAAAACAUAAACCUAAGCUUGCAUUUAGCACAGUUCAAGCAGUCCAUCUUUAUGUAAGACUUCCUUCCUUUAAAUAAAAAUUUCAGUGAUCUCUUUUCCUUUCAUAGUUGUCUAAUCCUUUCCUGCCAUAGAUACCUGUUCCAAAUUCCUUGUUUGAAUUAAAAACUUUUUAGAAGGAGAGUGGGCGUCACAUUUCAGUUAGCAUCUCUAAAUGUUGUAUGUUGGUCAUCUUUUGUUCUUGCCUUUAUGUGUCCUAUGAAUCCAGAAAAAACAAGGGCAGAGGUUUUAUGGAUGCACAUAUAAGAGGCUUGCAAACAAUAGAAACCUGACCUUUUCUCAGGCACUGAAGUACAGAGGGUAGGCAGAAGUAUGCCAUUUCAUUGUUCAGGGGGUUGAGUAUUAUCACACCACACAUUUAAAUUUUAUAAAGGAGAAAGCUGCAUCAGGAUUUUAAUAGGAGCUGAAGUGCAAGAACAGACUUCAGGGCAAGAAAAUUGUUUGGAAAUUGUCUCCACAGGGAAGAGAAAUCUAUCAGUAAAUCUCUGGGAGAUGCAGGGGAUUCUGACUUUCAGAUCCUGGUAAACUCAGACUUGGAUUGCCAUCCCAGUGAGAGGUAAGAUGCUGAAGAUAUUUUGCCUCGAGACAGCAGCUUGUAUUUUUCAUUUCUCUUGUCUUAGGCCAAAGCAAGAUCAUGCUUUCAGCUGUGGCAGCAGACCUUUCCUUUUACCUUCUUUCCCUCUAGGCACAGCCAUCACUACUCGACUGUAGUCACCACUAAUAACUGUCUGUCACUAGACUUGGUUGUGUGGGUUGAUUUCACCUUUGCAUAAGUGGUUGCAAUUGUAUUCCAUCCAGACAAAUGUUUUGCAUGCAUUGCACUGGAAAAUUUGAUCCUGUUCAUUAGGAGAAGGGUAGCAUAUAACGCCAAAAUGACAAUACUGUAUAAAAUCCUCUUAACCUGUUAUAUGAAUUAGGUGGGUGUCACAAACCCCACCAUUUGUUGAUCUCGCUUCUAACAAAUCUCACUAAAAUGUCACCCUAUUGAAAGGGAGACAUCAGCUUAGUAGGACUUAGCUGUCUUUCCCCACAAAAGGCAUCUUGGUGUGUGAGUAGCAGAAAUUUGGGAAGCUUGCUUAUGGUUGGUGGUAGCUAAUGCUUUGCUAGCUUUGAAGUAGUAGCUACUUGCUCUUUGCAAUUAAUGCAGAAUUCAUAGCAGAGAAUGAAUAUUUUGGGUCCUAACCCAAAAAUAAUAAGUGUAAAAUGGAAUUAGUUUUCUAAUGUUACUAUCAGAAAAAUACUUUGUAGCUUGAACUUGUCUUUUUAAAAUACAAGUGAAAGGGGGAGGAGGGAAACAAAGCAAAGUAUUUAUAGCAACAAAACUCACAAUCUGAUGCUCAUCUAGAAACUGCAGUAUUGUACUAGGCGUGAAUUAUAAUGCAGUCUCUUCUGGAUUAAAAUUAAUAGAAUAUGAAAAAAUAAAUGCUUUCCAAAAAUGUGAAAUUCAGUUUAAAGUAUUACAACCAUAGUACUGAGGUGUGUAAUUUGAAUUUAAUGCACGAGAAAAUAUACAGAAGUUACUGUCCAAAUUUCCAUGGGAAAAGCCCCCAAGGAGUUAAAAAAAAAAAAAUAAAUCAGUACCAUUUAUUUGUAUAGCCAGUAGAUGCAGAGAGUCUCUUAAGACACCUGGAUUCAAUUCCUAGCAGAUCACAAAGGACAACUGUAUAAUUUAGUAAGUCACUCAAUAUAGAUGAGAUUCAACUAAGGGAACUUCUUUCUUCAUGAUGUUUUCAAAAGUGUGAAGAGGCUUUGAUUGGAGAAGUGUAAAUACAUCCUGCCGAAACAGACUAAGGAAGCCUUAGUGCUAAUUAGAACUGGUUGCUCUGUGCUUUAGUUGUGAAUAUAAAGAACAUCUCCUUAACUUCAUUGGGAUAUUGAAAAGAUGUUACAUUGAUGUUUGGAAAGCUGACAAAAGACCAAGGGGAGAGAGACAAAGUGUUGCAAGAAGUUUCCAGCUGGUAUGAGUUGUUACAGCAGCGACACCAGAAGGAUUGGCUAUAUGAAUCAGGGUUGGAGUUACAAUCAAUAAUUAAAAUGGGAAGAACUGAAAUGAAUGUCUAUUGUGUAUUAAGACUUAACCUGACCUUUUAAGCAACAUCUGCUGAAGAGUGCUUUCACCAUUACAGGCCCCUGGAUGAUGGAAUCAUUCAGGAAUGCGAACAUUUCCUACAUUUUCCUCGGGCAGGCUCUUCUUUGAAGUUCUGGUCCUGCGAGUGUAGUAGAAGAUGUGAUAAUGACAAUAAGAAUACCUUUAAAUCCUAUGUAUAUUAGAGAUACGGUGUCUGACUCAUUGCUUAAAACUUAACUUUUUUGAAUGUAUGUAUGUUUACACUGAAAGAGUAAAGCAUAAUGGGCUAGGUUCCAUGGUAUUACUGCUCUGACUUUUAUCUGUGGUCACUGUACUAGCAGGAAAUACUGUGCCUGUGGUUUCUACAUCCUGAGUGGAAAUCUGGAAUUAAGUAAAAUACGGUCUCAUUACACCAUACCUGCCUCCAACAUAUGUUCUUGUUUUAGUGUUUCUGUACAUUACAGAUAGCUCAGAUUUAUCUUCUGAGUGACAAAGAUUACCCUGUUCACCACAGAGUAUGAGAAACCUUUUGCUGAGCUUUGAAAUCUUACAUGGAAACCUGCUAUCAAAUACUGACUACAGGUUGUCACCCCAUUAUAGUGGAACAUUCAUAGGCAGGUCAGAAUUUCAGACUGUAUUCUUCAUCCUUCUUGCACAGCUCAAUUCUGGCACUUGGCAGAAGAAGCAUGUCUUCUGCUCUCCCUGCAAUACAUUGAUGCUGUGGAGACUGAAAAUAACUUCACUCUGAGUGAUGUCAUCACCAUUAGAAGCAUGCUGUCAGCUUAAUUUGUUUCCUGACUUCAGCAGGAGAAAUAGAAUCUGACUGCUGACUCACUUGUUAGGUCUGAAGUAAAGUAGUUACACUUACUUCAUCUAUUUGGCCACGAGUUUGGGGUUUUAAAUAUCCACCCCCUUUGCAGCAGGUACUUGUAUUCAUGAAGGAAAAAGGAAAUGAGUCUGAAAUAAUUCUUCACUUCGUUAUUAUAAAGAAGGUGUUAUCUAAAGCAGGAAUAUGUAAGAUUGUUACAGAGUUGCCCUACUGCAUAAUUUCCUUCUUUCAUACAGGCCACGGUGGUCUGCUUGUUGGGUGUCUGGGAUGGUUGAGUGUUACCUUAGCCUCAGCCUCAGCAGCUGGUGCAGUACCAGUGCUCUUAGCAGCGAUGCUUUGGCUACAGAUCCACUGUUCAGAUGCUUUUAUUUUUCUUUCUUGGCCUGCCCCCUAAUGUCUUUGCAAGCUGAAGUGAAGAAGACUGUGUGCAAGUGGACCCUCCUGUGGGUCCACCAUUUCUCCAUUUCACUAUCCUUUGUUUUCUAUGUGCCUGUGAGGUUGGGAAGAUUUUUUCUUGCCCGCAGAGAAUAUCUUUAAUGACUACAUGACAUAUUUUACACACAUUUUGGAUGAGGAAAAAAGAAGAAGAAGUUGCAGUUCACUUUGGACUGGCAAAGCAGCAGCAAAUGAAGACUUUUUCAGAUAGCGUUUUUUUGUGUUGUUCU